AUUUGCGGACAAACCACCUGAACAUGUCCAGUCUCAUCUGAUCUCAGAAGCUAAGCAGGGUUGGGCCUGGUUAGUACUUGAGUGGGAGACAGAAGUUCCUCAGAAUAACACCAAGGUCAGAAAACA
rfam:TPA: Bos taurus chromosome 1, whole genome shotgun sequence.